rnacentral:rRNA from 1 species
AACAUUGAGCCUUGAUGUGUAGGAUAGGUGGGAGGCUUUGAAGUGUGGACGCCAGUCUGCAUGGAGCCGGCCUUGAAAUACCACCCUUUAAUGUUUGAUGUUCUAACGUGGACCCGUGAUCCGGGUUGCGGACAGUGUCUGGUGGGUAGUUUGACUGGGGCGGUCUCCUCCUAAAGAGUAACGGAGGAGCACGAAGGUUGGCUAAUCCUGGUCGGACAUCAGGAGGUUAGUGCAAUGGCAUAAGCCAGCUUGACUGCGAGCGUGACGGCGCGAGCAGGUGCGAAAGCAGGUCAUAGUGAUCCGGUGGUUCUGAAUGGAAGGGCCAUCGCUCAACGGAUAAAAGGUACUCCGGGGAUAACAGGCUGAUACCGCCCAAGAGUUCAUAUCGACGGCGGUGUUUGGCACCUCGAUGUCGGCUCAUCACAUCCUGGGGCUGAAGUAGGUCCCAAGGGUAUGGCUGUUCGCCAUUUAAAGUGGUACGCGAGCUGGGUUUAGAACGUCGUGAGACAGUUCGGUCCCUAUCUGCCGUGGGCGCUGGAGAACUGAGGGGGGCUGCUCCUAGUACGAGAGGACCGGAGUGGACGCAUCACUGGUGUUCGGGUUGUCAUGCCAAUGGCACUGCCCGGUAGCUAAAUGCGGAAGAGAUAAGUGCUGAAAGCAUCUAAGCACGAAACUUGCCCCGAGAUGAGUUCUCCCUGACCCUUUAAGGGUCCUGAAGGAACGUUGAAGACGACGACGUUGAUAGGCCGGGUGUGUAAGCGCAGCGAUGCGUUGAGCUAACCGGUACUAAUGAACCGUGAGGCUUAACCUU